AGGCCACCAUAAAAAAGGGGCUGGUGGAGUGUCUCAAGGUGUAGGCCCUGAGUUCAAACCCUAGUACCGUGGGGGAAAAAAAAAUUCUUCUCAGUAGUUUUAUGCCCUGAUUGUUUUUUCUCCUCUGUUGUUUCUUAUUUGUUAACAACCGAUUUAUCUUCUCCUUUUCUAAACUCCCUCACCGCCUAAAGGAACAGGUGGACAUAGGAGGGCCCUUUCCCUCUCCAAUAAGUCUCUUUCUGGCCUUCAAGAGAGAACACCCACGCACAGGAAAUCAAUCCCAAGAUCCACAGAUAGAUGUAAUGUCCUAGAGGAAAUUCAACUGAAUCUUUCCCAUACAUCCUUCCACAUUUCUGCUGCAGAAUUUAAGAGUUGUCAGCACUGAGUGGCAGAUUAGUUGCUGCAGAGAAACUAAGAAAAUGAAUUGAAAUGUGGAAAACAAGUCUCUUUCAUUUGGAUCUAUUUAGAUUUUUAUCAAGAAUUCCUUCCCCUUAAGGGGUCUCAGUAAAGAAAGAGAUUCUAAGAAACCUGUGCAAUAUAAUUGGAUGUUAUUGACUCAUUGACACUGGAUCAGACACUGGGAUUUGUGACAGUGGAUUUUCGCAGACCCACUUACACUUGUUUGCUUUCUUACCCUGUGACCUUUCAAGCAAUUUGAGGAACAGUGGCAGGAGGUGAGGAAUGUAAGUUGCACCUGGAAUCUUUAAUCUGGUCCAGAUACGUUUUUGCUUAUGGGAUGAUGUAAACUGGUAAAACAGCAAGUACAUAAUUGUUGCAUUUAAGAAAACCUAGUAUAAUGAUUUACAAUUGAAGCAGAACCAACUCCACCUGACCAGACUGCAUGAACUGACCACUCUCAUCAAAGGCAACCAGAAAUUCUUUGCUGUCUUCUCUAUCUUUAAUUCCCCCCAACACUGUUUCACUUCUGCUUUUAGAAUACAGUGGCAAGACUUAGCAAAGUCUUCAUUGUUUCCUCUUUUUUUGUUGCCUUAAUGCUCCUUGUAUAUCUGCAGCCACUUUGAGAUAAAAGGAAACAGUUGGAUGGCUGUGCAUUGUAGGAUCUUGGCUCAGUUCAUUUAAUUACUAGACUAAGUACCUUCUGAAUUCACUGGCCCCACUUUAGUAUUGUCAAAUUUUCUUUCUGUCAUUAGCUUGAG